UCAGCUUACAUGUGCAGAUUGUUACUCUAAGGUUCCUGAGAAUGCCCCCUUGCCGGCUCGGGAAGCUGCAAACAAGGGAUGAUGGAAGGAGGCUCGGGGAACCCAGACGGAAACAAGGCAUUCAGAACCAUUCAGCAUGGCCUGGUGCAGAUGCAUACAGAAAGAACAGUCACAUGCAACGAAAGGCGGGGUACCAUGAAAGGCAGAGUCACAAACAACAUGCCGAGGGAUCAAAGAGGAAGAAUAACCGGUGUUCAGAAAGACUCCGUGGAGGAAAGGAUGUCCAUGCGUCAGCAGCUAAAGGAUGGACGAAUCUUCCCGCUGAACCCAGGACCACCAGCUCAGAGAUGGCACCACCCACAAUGGGCUGCCCCACCACCACCCCCAGUGAUCACCAUUUGGGAAAAUGCCCUACAGCUGCAUAUCAUGGAAUCAUUUCCUUAGCUGAGGCUCCUUCCUCUCUGAUGACUCUAGCUUGUGUCAAGUUGACACCCAAAACCAACCAGUACAGAAGGGUUUCAAAAUUGAGAUAUAUUUCAAUGUUCAUUUUCAGUAGUCUUGCAUAGUCAACGGAAUAUUAAAUUGUGAUCAUAGGUAAUUACUGAUUGGAAGAAGAA
ensembl:lincRNA Gm13667 predicted gene 13667